rnacentral:rRNA from 1 species
AACGAACGCUGGCGGCAGGCCUAACACAUGCAAGUCGAGCGGACCUUUCGGGGUCAGCGGCGGACGGGUGAGUAACGCGUGGGAAUAUGCCCUUCUCUACGGAAUAGUCCUGGGAAACUGGGGGUAAUACCGUAUACGCCCUUUGGGGGAAAGAUUUAUCGGGGAAGGAUUAGCCCGCGUUGGAUUAGGUAGUUGGUGGGGUAAUGGCCUACCAAGCCGACGAUCCAUAGCUGGUUUGAGAGGAUGAUCAGCCACACUGGGACUGAGACACGGCCCAGACUCCUACGGGAGGCAGCAGUGGGGAAUCUUAGACAAUGGGGGCAACCCUGAUCUAGCCAUGCCGCGUGAGUGAUGAAGGCCUUAGGGUUGUAAAGCUAUUUCAGCUGGGAAGAUAAUGACGGUACCAGCAGAAGAAGCCCCGGCUAACUCCGUG